UUUUAAAUUUCAUCCUUUUAUUCUGUUAAAAAUUGACUUGAUUGACGAAAUAACCAGAUAAUUUCAUGUGUCAUUUAUGUACUUUAUGCUAACAUACAUAGACCGAUUUUUAACAAUAAAAGUGGAUGGAUCUUUUAAAC
rnacentral:pre_miRNA from 1 species